UUCUUCCUCUUCCUCUCCCGAAAGACUCUCUCUUCUUCUUCUUCUUCUUCAAUCGACUAAUCAGUUAUACCUUACUCUAAAUCAACCAAAUUGAAUCGAUUAUCAAAUUAGUUUAGAGUUGUGGAUCUCGGCUUCCACCCUCCCUUAAUCUACAAAAUCAAGCGGGUACAGGUCUUGUAGUGAACCUUGAUUUUAUAGUCUAUAAAGAAAGAAAAUGCAGAAUGGUUUCUUCAGAUAUUCUCCCGUUGUGGAGGUUGGAGAGAUUGACACGAGUGCUCCUUUUCAAUCUGUUAAAGAUGCGGUUAACCUUUUUGGUGAAUCUGCUUUCUCAGCUGAGAAAGAGAAACCACCGGUUAUUCCGAAACCGAAUCCUUAGUCUGCUGAGAAAGUUUUGGUGAAGCAAACAGAGCUUCACUUGGCUCAGAAAGAGUUGAAUAAGUUGAAGGAACAGCUUAAGAGUGCUGAAACUAUCUGAGAUCACUGGCAUGGAAGAAUCUGCCAAGAAUUCACUCGUUUUGACCCUGAAUUUGCAAAAAAAGCUUGAAGUGCAGUUGACAGAGACAUACAACGAGAUCGAUGAGCUGCAGAAGCAAAUGGAGACUACGAAAGUAUCUGAUAUGGAUUCCGUUAAUGGUGUGAGUUUGGAGUUGAAUGAAGCUAACUUGUCGAAGAAAAGAAGUCUUUGCAAGAGUUAGUGGAAGGAAGCGGAGACUGCACAUCUGGCCACUGAACCAUCACCGCUACAACAUUACAAAGCUCCGAAAGAGAAACCUGUCCAUAAAAAACUGGAGAAGACAAAAACUUCAGUUGUACCAAAGAAAGUGCUAUAGCCGAAUCUCAGUGGAAUCUUUAACAGAAACAAGAAUCAAGUGGAAUGGGUUUCUCCUUCAUAUCUCUCUGGAGAGAAACCCUUUUGAUGAUUUCUUCUUUUUCAAGAAUUGAUCUUUUUGCUGUUGCGAACAAUCAAAAAAGAGGUGUGCUUUUUUUUUUU